UAGCUCAGCUGGAUAGAGCGUAUGAUUCCUAAUCGUAAGGUCGUGGGUUCGAAUCCC
rnacentral:tRNA from 1 species